GCCUCUGUAGCGUAAUGGAUAACGCGUCGGCCUCCUAACCCGGAGUCUGAAAGACAGCCGAAGAUUGCGGGUUCGAGUCCCGUCGGAGGUG